GAAAUACGGUAAGCGCGAAACCCGGAGGAAGCUCUGUGCCUGGAGGGGACCCGCCGCCAUCUCAGGUCUCAGCCUCGCGGGGCCCACCACAGAGAGCUGACGCCCUGUCCUAAGAAUCCUUAUGGGUGACCAACCUUGUUUCUCCGGGAGAUCCACGCUCCCACCUGGAAACACGCGGGAAACCAGGCCUCCAAAAAAGCGCUGCCUCCUAGCUCCACGGUGGGAUUAUCCAGAGGGAACCCCCAACGGAGGUAGUACCACUCUUCCCUCUGCACCUUCUCCUGCAUCACCCGGCCUGAAGUCGCACCCUCCUCCUCCGGAGAAGUAGUAGAAUGUACUUCUCCCACCCAAACCAGUCUCUGAGGGAUUGCAGAAUGACUCCAUUUCCUUGGUGCAUUCAUAAAAUGGUUCACCCUGUGAAGAUGAUGAAGACUAUUGACAAUGCUGUCCUGAUUUUUCUGAUGUCCUACACCAGGUGUGCUUUGAUUUGUUCCUCGAUGUAGCCCUGGAAAGGAAAACAACCAGAGAAACCAACGGGAAACAAAAACACGCAAACACACAGACAAAUAAAGCAAACAAACAAACAAAAACAAUCCAAAAGGAAAAAACCAGAAACACCAUCUACAGGUAAAGAACAGGGUGGAGGCGGUGCUGAUGGAAGAGCAUAUACAAAGACAUAAAUGACAGUCUUGUGAUAAUCAGCAUAAUUUCACCUCCUGAAUUUGAAUGAAUUAUGGGACAUAACCAAGAUCAGACUGUAGACAUCUAAGAUUGAAGGCCAUGGCCUGGAUCCUAAUGAACUCACCAGGGCAAAUAAACCCUGUGAGAUGGUCCUGCAGCAGCCAAUCAAUGCUCUUUUGUGCCACCCAGUCCCUGCUGUGUAACUUUGAGUUUCUAUAAAUCCAUUAAGGUCCCAAUAAAUUUUGUGUCUCAGUGC